rnacentral:lncRNA from 1 species
AUAAAUUAAACUUAAUAAAUUAACAAUUAAACUAAACUAAACUAAAAUACAAUUAAACAAAAUAUACAGCAAGAUCCGGCAAACCCCAACCCAGUUUCCGGCAAGACCAAUUCGAACAAGGAGCAACAUCCAAAUCCUCCAACACAGGCAAACAUCAAGAUCUGAAAUUAAAACCCCAAUCCAAAAAAUCCAUUCAUCCUAACAGAUCAUAACUUCAAACAGAGAAGAGAUGGUGGGACGUAAGGAGGAAAGGGAGGGGAGAUCAAGUGGAGAUGCCAUCGCCGGAGAAUUCCAAACCAGAUCCAAAACCGCCAUCGCCGGAGAACUCCAAACCAGAUCCAAAACCAGCAAGACCCUACAAAUCAUUCCCUACCAAAAUUCCAUCCAUCCUAACAGAUCAUAACUUCAAACAAAGAAGAGAUGGUGGGCUGUAAGGAGUGGUUAUUUAAAUGCCAAAGCCAUCUUAUAGUGGGCGGAGCUCACUUUCUGAAUAUGAGACUUUUAUUCUACUAGAUGCUUGGGGGGACAUGUUUCUUCAGCGUGGAAGCCAGGAGGAAGAGCCUUCGUUGAG